rnacentral:tRNA from 1 species
CCUCCUUUCUAAGGAUGAGUGAAAGUAAAAUUUCAUUCUAAAUAAUAUACAUCGGUAAUGUUGACCGUCCUCAUUUCUCUUCUUAAAGUAAUGUUUCCUUCUUGUAGGGCCGGUAGCUCAGUUGGUUAGAGCACACCCUUGAUAAGGGUGGGGUCGAAAGUUCGAGUCUUUCUCGGCCCACCAAAAACCUAAUUGGGGGAUUAGCUCAUCUGGGAGAGCGCCUGAUUUGCAUUCAGGAGGUAGCAGGUUCGAUCCCUGUAUCCUCCACCAGGAAACAUUUAGUUAUUAAAACUGUAAAUAAAAUAAUUUAUAUCAAUAUCUAUAUCCGGACAUUAAAAGUUAUUAUUUAAUGUUCAAAAUAAAAUUUGAUCCCAACACAGAAAAAA